CCGUAGAGCCCAAAAUUCAAGCGUCCAGUCACCGCUUCGCGUCCCUUGAUGAAAAAGCAGUACAGGACAUCGUGGAUGGGAACCUCUCCAAAUCUACUGGGAGUAAAAAUAUUUCGACAAUGGCUUGGUUUCCGAGGUUUUGAACGCACGUUCGAAGAGCUUCCUGCUUUUCAACUGAAUGAGAGACUGAGGUUCUUUUAUGCCGAAGUCAGAAAUGCUGAGAGAGACCUUUACUCAAAAUCGAGUUUUGUUGGGUUGCGUGCUGCCAUACACAGGCACAUCAGGGGACCGCCAUUUGAGCGCAGCAUAAACAUUAUCCAAGACCGGGAAUUUCACACUGCAAACUGCCGUCACUUUGCUGUCAAACGCAGUUUCAGGCGAGUUGACACUAUCUUGUACAGGGGCCAAACAGUAUGUACAUCUUUUCUAAUUUUGAUUAUUUGUAUUUCAUAGAUACGCAUAACUACAAAUUACAAGUAAGAUGGGGAACUGUGAUAAAGAAUUGAAUUUGUGAUAUUUCCUGUUGUUUGUUUAUUUUCUGAGAAAUGGGCUUGAACAUGUGACCACCCCUUUCGUAAAAUGGAUCCUCAUUAUUGGAGUACCUCGAAACCAUUGAUCGGUUUCGCGGCACCCCAUAUCAUGCAUCUUUUUCGAAGGU